rnacentral:rRNA from 1 species
UGGGGAAUAUUGGACAAUGGGGGCAACCCUGAUCCAGCAAUGCCGCGUGUGUGAAGAAGGCCUGCGGGUUGUAAAGCACUUUCAGUAGAGAAGAAAAGCGUAGGGAUAAUACCUCUGCGUCUUGACGUAACCUACAGAAGAAGCACCGGCUAACUCCGUGCCAGCAGCCGCGGUAAUACGGAGGGUGCAAGCGUUAAUCGGAAUUACUGGGCGUAAAGCGCGCGCAGGUGGCCCGUUAAGUCGGCUGUGAAAUCCCCUGGCUCAACCAGGGAAGUGCAGUCGAUACUGGCGGGCUCGAGUCCCGGAGAGGGUGGUAGAAUUCCCAGUGUAGAGGUGAAAUUCGUAGAUAUUGGGAGGAAUACCGGUGGCGAAGGCGACCGCCUGGACGGGUACUGACACUGAGGCGCGAAAGCGUGGGGAGCAAACAGGAUUAGAUACCCCUGUAGUCC